AUUGAACGCUGGCGGAAUGCUUUACACAUGCAAGUCGAACGGUAGAGGGGGCAACCCCUUGAGAGUGGCGAACGGGUGAGUAAUACAUCGGAACGUGCCCAGUCGUGGGGGAUAACGCAGCGAAAGCUACGCUAAUACCGCAUACGAUCUGAGGAUGAAAGCGGGGGACCUUCGGGCCUCGCGCGAUUGGAGCGGCCGAUGGCAGAUUAGGUAGUUGGUGAGGUAAAGGCUCACCAAGCCGACGAUCUGUAGCUGGUCUGAGAGGAUGAUCAGCCACACUGGGACUGGGACACGGCCCAGACUCCUACGGGAGGCAGCAGUGGGGAAUUUUGGACAAUGGGCGCAAGCCUGAUCCAGCCAUUCCGCGUGCAGGAUGAAGGCCUUCGGGUUGUAAAGCACUUUUGGCAGGAAAGAAAUCGCACGGAUUAAUACUCUGUGUGGAUGACGGUACCUGCAGAAUAAGCACCGGCUAACUACGUGCCAGCCGCCGCCGUAA
rnacentral:rRNA from 1 species